CUCGGCUUUUCACUAUAAAAGCUGACUCCAAUUGAACGACUAUUAUGCCGACUUAAUCUUAACUAAGCAGAAUGUUAUGCCAAUAUGACUCAAGUCACAUUGGAAUUAUGCCGACUUAGUCUAAACUAAGCGGAAUACUAUGCCAAUACAACCAAAAUUAGAUUGAAAUUAUAUUGACUUGACUACGAUCGGUCGAAGAAUAUUCGACUUACCAUCGAUUAUCAAAUAACUAGACGUACUAACCCAACUA
rnacentral:lncRNA from 1 species